UACGUAGGGUGCGAGCGUUAAUCGGAAUUACUGGGCGUAAAGCGUGCGCAGGCGGUUGUGCAAGACCGAUGUGAAAUCCCCCGGGCUUAACUUGGGAACUGCAUUGGUGACUGCACGGCUAGAGUGUGUCAGAGGGGGGUAGAAUUCCACGUGUAGCAGUGAAAUGCGUAGAUAUGUGGAGGAAUACCGAUGGCGAAGGCAGCCCCCUGGGAUAACACUGACGCUCAUGCACGAAAGCGUGGGGAGCAAACAGG
rnacentral:rRNA from 1 species